rnacentral:rRNA from 1 species
CUAUGGGAUGCACCAGUGAGGAAUAUUGCACAAUGGGGGGAACCCUGAUGCAGCAACGCCGCGUGGAGGAUGACGCAUUUCGGUGUGUAAACUCCUUUUAUAUGUCAAGAAAAUGACGGUAGCAUAUGAAUAAGCACCGGCUAACUCCGUGCCAGCAGCCGCGGUAAUACGGAGGGUGCAAGCGUUACUCGGAAUCACUGGGCGUAAGGACGCGUAGGCGGGUUGGAAAGUCAGGUGUGAAAUCCUACAGCUUAACUGUAGAACUGCACUUGAAACUUCUAAUCUAGAGUAUGGGAGGGGGAGAUGGAAUUAGUGGUGUAGGGGUAAAAUCCGUAGAUAUCACUAGGAAUACCUAAAGCGAAGGCGAUCUCCUGGAACAUUACUGACGCUAAGGCGUGAAAGCGUGGGGAGCAAACAGGAUUAGAUACCCCCGUAGUC